CUUUUGCUAGGGUCGGAAGCAUCCCGACGAGACGCGCCGUACCGGGUCACGACAAGACGACGCACC
rnacentral:ncRNA from 1 species